UACGGAGGGUGCAAGCGUUGUUCGGAAUCACUGGGCGUAAAGGGCGUGUAGGCGGUCCGCUAAGUCUGAUGUGAAAGCCCGGGGCUCACCCCCGGAAGGGCAUUGGAAACUGGCGGACUCGAGUCCCGGAGAGGAAGGUGGAAUUCCUGGUGUAGCGGUGAAAUGCGUAGAUAUCAGGAGGAAUACCGGUGGCGAAGGCGGCCUUCUGGACGGUGACUGACGCUGAGGAGCGAAAGCGUGGGGAGCGAACAGG
rnacentral:rRNA from 1 species